CUCAGAAUUGCUAGUUUUGUGAUAGCAUUUCUUAAAGGACGAUGGACUAGGAGGGUGUUGCAACCGGAGUUUUAGCAGGAGGCAUCACAUUACAGUCAGCUGCAUCACGGGUAUAAUUUGCAGUGAUUUGAAACCAUAGAAACAAAUGAAAGCCACGGCCCGUGUUUGCACUGAGCUGAGAUUGCAGGCGCGUGACCUGUUCACACUGCCAAAAGUGUCUCCACCAGGGUCGUCGCCUUGAUUAUUAAUUGCUGCUGUAGACAGAAGCCUGGUGACAAAGACAGAGCAGUGAGAGAAGCAGUGCAUCAGAACUCUACUAAUGUCGGGCCGGGCACGGUGGCUCAAGACUGUAAUCCCAGCACGUUGGGAGGCCCAGGCGGGUGGAUCACGAGGUCAAGAGAUCGAGACCAUCCUGGUCAACAUGGUGAAACCCCGUCUCUACUAAAAAGACAAAAAUUAGCUGGGCAUGGUGGCGCGUGCCUGUAAUCCCAGCUACUCGGGAGGCUGAGGCAGGAGAAUUGCCUGAACCCAGGAGGCGGAGGUUGCAGUGAGCCGAGAUUGUGCCAUUGCACUCCAGCCUGGGUAACAAGAGCGAAACUCUGUCUCAAAAAAAAAAAAAAAAAGAACUCCACGAAUCUCUCCUUACUCAUUUUGCUCAAGCAGGCAUCCCUCUACCACACCACCUACGUUUAAGGAAAUGGUGGCUCCAUCCCCAACUCAGGCAAAUAUAUUCUGAUUAUUUUAAGCCAUUUAAAGCAGUUCCGUGGUAUCCUUUUCAGGCCAAGGAGAUAUGAGGAGGAGUUGGAUGAAGGUUCUGGAAAAAUGUCUCCACUUUUAAGUAGGUAACACUGAAAAAUCAGACCUUUUCAACUUCUCCAUUCAUUCUGUCUGGAUGUGAUGGCUGGAAAUGCUACCAGCUGCGGAAGAAGCCAAAACGUGAAGGAGAGAAUCCAGAGAAGUGUGGGGAAGCUGAGCUGGACCCUGGCAAACUGUGCUGGGGUUGCGCCACCUCCGCUGCAGGCACUUCGAGUCGGGGCUUUCGGGCACUUACAGUCAAAGGCAUCUAAACUCACCCAGUGUUGUAUAAGAGGCGAAAUACCCUGACUUUCCUAACCCUCCAGAAAUCCCUUUGUUGCUUUUUUGUCCUUUGGUGUAAAACACUUCCCAGAAUUCUUUUCUGGGAAAAAAAAAAAAAAAAUCCCUGCUGAGAACUUAGCCCAGUGCUGCACUGAGAAAUGUACUAAAUAGUUACCAAUGAUUGCUAUGCUCUGCUUUUGUUCUUUUAAUCACUAUUUCAAUUUGAUUAUUAUAACUUGUGACUGCAAAAUAAUUUAAAGUGUGUAAAUUGCUUUGCGUCAUUUCAUUUAGUUCAAAUAGCAGCCCCGUGAGAUAGAGGAAAAGAAGAUGUGAAAAAAUGGAGCCCAGAAAGAUUACAGUAUUUUGACCAACACCAGGAAUCUCGAAAAUGUCUUAAAUCUAAGCCCUCAAAGCUAGUGCUGUUUCCAUCAAAUCACAGCUACAGAUUAGAGCAAACCUAGGAGUUAUCAUGAAGGAAACGUUUGCAAAAGAGAAGCAGGAAUGCAGCUCCAGACCACGUGCAAGGAAACUGGGAUCUGCUCCGGGCUGUGUCAUCCCUAGCUGUGAAAACCUAGAAACAAAACAGCUGAGGCAAAAAAGAGACGAUUCUCUCCGCCCAAAGUCGGUGCCCUCAUCCAAACUGUUUAACCGUGAUCACCAGCACCUUGGUGAGUUAGAGCCGGAAUGAAUAUCACACUACAGUUUGUUCAACACAUCUGUCAUAACUCAGGUGUCCAUUUCUGCUUCUCCUUGUUUUUAUGCUGGCAUUUUAGGGUGAAAUAGGAGGGUAUCAAUCCAGUCUCAGGUUGUCCAUCCAGCAGUCAUUCUCCAAAUCAAGUUCUUUUCAUCAUCAGUAGCUCCACGAACGGGCAAAAUAUCUUCCUCCUUGCUAGUCCUAGACCCUCGAGAGGUGGCAUCUCUGUUCUCGUGAGUACCCAAAAUGGGAAAAUGUGGGACAGUUCUCAUCUCUCUUUACUGCUCUGCUCCUUUGUUUAUCAUGUUAACUGCACAGAAGACUGCACAGAAAUAUUAGAUUUUACUGAUUGGUUGGAGGUGGCUGAUGAAAAUUAUAAUCUAGGGUGAGAAAAAAAGAUAUUUCUUCCUUUUUCUUUUG